ACUGGAGGACAAUUACUCACCUCAAAUCACAGCCAACAGGGCACCCACCAUUUCAGCACUGAAGGUGCUGAGACCAGAACUACUCAGCAUAAUGCAGAUAACAUCUGCCCGGUCAUGCAUGACACAACUCUUCCCAGGAAAAGGCCACCAGAGCUGGGGAUAUGAAGCGUACCCAGGGUGAAUCUGGCAAGAUUCCAGACUCCUCUACACGCGGCUUACAGCAGCAUAGCCACCAGCAACCAGAGGGUCAAAGGCAAAGUGGGAGACCUGAGGUUGGGACUGAGAGGCUCAAAGAGGCUUCUGCUUUGUUGUCAUUUCAAUAAACAAAGUCUCUGCAA